rnacentral:rRNA from 1 species
GGCUCAGGAUGAACGCUAGCUACAGGCUUAACACGUGCAAGUCGAGGGGCAGCGGGAUUGAAGCUUGCUCAAUUGCCGGCGACCGGCGCACGGGUGAGUAACGCGUAUCCAACCUGCCCAUCACUUGGGGAUAACCUUGCGAAAGUAAGACUAAUACCCAAUGACGUCUCUAGAAGACAUCUGAAAGAGAUUAAAGAUUUAUCGGUGAUGGAUGGGGAUGCGUCUGAUUAGCUUGUUGGCGGGGUAACGGCCCACCAAGGCGACGAUCAGUAGGGGGUUCUGAGAGGAAGGCCCCCCACAUUGGAACUGAGACACGGUCCAAACUCCUACGGGAGGCAGCAGUGAGGAAUAUUGGUCAAUGGACGAGAGUCUGAACCAGCCAAGUAGCGUGCAGGAUGACGGCCCUAUGGGUUGUAAACUGCUUUUAUAAGGGAAUAAAGUGGGAGUCGUGACUCUUUUUGCAUGUACCUUAUGAAUAAGGACCGGCUAAUUCCGUG